rnacentral:lncRNA from 1 species
UUCUUUUCUCACUUUUUUUUCACUCUCUUUUUUCAAGUUUUCUUUCUUUUUCUCAUUUUUCUUUUCUUUUGUAUUUUUGCUUUUUUCUUUUUCUCUCACUUGAUCCACGGAAUUUUUCAACUUAAUUUGAUCUUCAUACACUUGCUUUGGCGUCAAUGGGGCUAAGGUUACAUUUCUUCCCAUAUGUUUGAAAGAAUAGCGAUUUGAAUAUCCGUCGUGCAUUACUCGACGAUCGAAUUGCCACGGACGGCCCAAUAACAAAUGACCCGCAUGCAUUGGAACAACAUCGCAUAGUACCUCGUCACAAUAUUUUCCAAUGGAGAAUGAAACUGAACUUGCUUAGUGACCUUG